rnacentral:rRNA from 1 species
UACGUAGGGGGCAAGCGUUGUCCGGAUUUAUUGGGCGUAAAGAGCGUGUAGGCGGCCAUACAGGUCAGCUGUGAAAACUCGAGGCUCAACCUCGAGACGUCGGUUGAAACCGUAUGGCUAGAGUCCGGAAGAGGAGAGUGGAAUUCCCGGUGUAGCGGUGAAAUGCGCAGAUAUCUGGAGGAACACCGGUGGCGAAGGCGGCAUCCUGGACCGGCAUUGACGCUGAGUGAGCGAAAGCCAGGGGAGCAAACGGG